CACUAAACUGUGUUUGGAGAACAGCCGGCUGCGAUCCAACUAGAGAUGACUCCUGCCUGUUUGUGUCCUUGGUUGCCACACCAGGGCCUACUAAGGGCGUUGACCUGGCUGUUGAGCUCAGAGGAAAAAUUGAUCAGCCCGUGGGAUUCGUCGGUGUCACUCACUUUAAAGAUGGCAGCACCAGUCUGUUCCCCUGUAUACGUAAAGGCUCAGACGACGCACCGUUCUUCCGGACGUUCUGGAGAAAAAACGCUUGUAGCGGGUUCUUUCUAGUGCAGAAUAGAGCAUCUGGAAUUCGAAUUGUGCCGAAAGGUCAUGUGAUCAGGUGCGGGUUCGAUAUCCGAGAGGUGAACGCCUCCGUGAUAAGAGACAGGUUGCCGAUUGCCGAUACCACCUUCAUCAUCAGCGCCGCUACUGGAACUGCCUCUCUAGACGGUAUACCCGGAGCCUUCAUCCCCACCCUGGAGAAAA